rnacentral:rRNA from 1 species
UACGUAGGGGGCAAGUGUUGUCCGGAUUUAUUGGGCGUAAAGAGCGUGUAGGCGGCCAGGUAGGUCCGUUGUGAAAACUCGAGGCUCAACCUCGAGACGUCGGCGGAAACCCUCUGGCUAGAGUCCGGAAGAGGAGAGUGGAAUUCCUGGUGUAGCGGUGAAAUGCGCAGAUAUCAGGAAGAACACCCGUGGCGAAGGCGGCUCUCUGGGCAUCUCCUGACGCUGAGGCGCGAAAGCGUGGGGGAGCAAACGGG